CAAAGCUCGUGGACAGAAAACAGCGGUGAAGAGUGAAAGUGACUCCUCUGUCUGAGAAUUUGAAAAACCCGGCGAACAGAGAACGUUCUCAGAACAUUGGCUAACGUUCUCUCAAAGUUCUGAACAAACGUUCUACCACUGUUUGGACUCUCAUUCUGACGGCACCCAUUCACUACAGAGGAUCCAUUGGUGAGCAAGUGAUGUAAUGCUAAAUUUCUCAAAAUCUGUUCCGAUGAACAAACAAAUGAUCUAACCAUCACCUAUCUUAGGCCUGAAGGCAGUAUCAUUGGGAUGGUUGGAGGCUGCUGCUCAGUCUGUUUUGUUUCGGCAUCUUUUUCCCUUGUGCAAAUAGCAUCGUAAGCUCCUUCCUUCCAUUCAUCAAUCCAGCCAUAAGUCCACCCACAUGAAUAAGGAAGUAGGACUUGCUGCAGGACUUGUCAUGGCUUUCUGGAUUGGCAUGAAUGGCUUUUUGUUCCAGAUGCCCAUUUCUGUACAUGUUCUUCCACUUAACUUUACUAUCACCGUACCAGCCGACUCUGAGAACAUCACAGUCGUGCCUGCCGUCAUAGAUACUGCCAUGUGACUUGUAGAUCAGUACCAGCAUGCACUGUAUAGUAUAUGCUUAGGGAAAUAUUAAAUGCUUAUCCUCA